GGGGAUCGCUCUAGGCCCCGCUGGAAACAGCGAACAGCGUCCCGUAAAGCCAAGUGCCGCAGUGACGGCUGUUAUGUAAAAAAUUAUUAAGAAAAUUAUUAAGAAAACUAGUGGGAAACACAGUGCGUAGAAGUGUUUGGCUCAUCGCACCUUGGCAACCAGGUGCUCUUGAGGGCAGAUAUUAGGAAAAUCUCUAUUUUUGUGACAGAGGACAAUAGUAAAGGUGGAACAUGAGGCAAAUACAAAGCUCUGAAGGGUUUCAAGAGCCACAAGGGUCCUGUAGCACUUGGGACUGCAGCUCAUAACUGGAAAUAAUUAACAUAUUUGCAUCACAAACUAGUACAAUGGAAAAAAAUCAGCAAAGGACUUAAAAGCACUUGGUGUGAAUAACUUAAUGCAGAUCUGAAAAACAACUGAAGGUUAAAACUCAAUUGACUCUGAAUGUGGUCCAUAUACAAACUAUUGAACUCAAGCUGAAUUCUCAUGCGAGUAUUAAAUUGCAGCACAGCCUUGAAUUGACCCUUUAGGAAGGAAACAAUGCAUAUAAUAGUGUGUUUGAUACCAAGAAGGCACUACAUAUAAGCAUGCAAGCAUUUGAACUUCAUGAAGGAAAAGAAAGCAGGAAAGAUAAAGGCAGUCAAAAAGGUGAAGAGUGCAUCUAAGAGAAGAGGAAAAAAAUCACACCACAUAUUGCCAUCUGAUUUAUCUAGGGUGAGUGUUACAGCCUUAAAAGUUUCCGAAUGGAAUCAUGUGUUGGGUCUCUGUAUCCUGUGGUCAUCAGCUACGAGCCACUACUCAUGUCGGGGUCUGACUACAUUGUACUGAUGCAAUCGGAUUAUAGCACCAGGUGGGAGGAUCGGCUUUCACUGCAGAAAGAAGAAUGAACUACUCUAAUGCACCAGAACAGUGGAGGGCUGAGCACAACAAAUAAGUAGCUGUCCUUUGAAGAUUUUUUUUCUUCCAGUGAUUAAACUUCCUGCUCAAGUGCUUAUACUAUACUUAUAGUGAAAGCCACUAGCUUGAAACAAUUUUCUAAUUUACAUUGCUUCUUCCUUCCCCCCCCUGCCACAGACACUCAAUUUCCAAUGCACUAUUUCAGAAAGGAAAACUUUAACAGCAAGGCUUAUUUUAUUAUGGAGCUCUAUUAUGCUGUUUAAAAAAAAAUCACUAAAACAUAUUCUGGAACAUUCUGUAAUGCUACAUUACUGUUACC
rnacentral:lncRNA from 1 species